CGGGAUUAGAAGCAUAUUUACAUAAAAAGAUUUAAAACUCAUUUUAAACUGCAUCAUAUUUCUGAUAAACAAGCAUUGUUCAUUUUAUGCGCAGUAGUAAGUCCCGACAGGUAUAGGGCUGUAAAUCUGAGAGCUGUGGUUCAUGUUUGUUUAGAAAGUUAUUUUGGUUUAUUUUAAAAUGAAUUUAGAACCAUUUUUCUGUAGAUCUUCUUCUUUCUCAAAUUCUUCUGCCUCUGAAUCAUCGAGGUACAAAGGUCUAGUAAAUAGUGAAGAAAUCACUAUUUACCAAAAUAGGACAAAAAUCAGAAACAGAUCAGAAGAUCAACAAG
rnacentral:lncRNA from 1 species